AAAAAUAAAUGACCAAUGCACUUUCUAAAAAAUAUCUAAGGAUAGAAAAGAAAACUAAAGUUUUUCCUCACUGUAUCUUAUUCAUCGAAUUCUCCAAGAAGGUUUCGGCGGUCGACGACAAAUGGGGAUGACAUGGAUGAUGAUAUCUCGAGCUCAAUCAGUCGUUAACACCAUAAAUUUGUAUGGAAGCAAGCUUUAGAAAGGCAUAAAAAAGGCACUUUAAAUUCUUACAAGCACCAUGAAUCUAUCUCGGUGAAGACUCCUUUCAACUUUGCUUCAACAAAUCAAUUGUAUCUUCAGCCAAACGAUAAGAAUUGGUUACCAGGUACUCAACGAAGACACUAAAUUCACCGGCUAAUAAGACCUUUCCCAGAGAGCCAAUCAACUUUGAUGAGGUUUCUAUGCAUCAAAGCAUGCUCUUUUCUGAUAGUCUUAAGGUGUAAUAGUUGCCAAGCUCAUUAAAAGAUUCAUCGUACAUAAGCUACUGGACAGUUGUCUUCGAUUUGCGUCAUUUGUAAUAUAAGUACUAUUUAAUUAGAGAUGGUUCAGUACUAAAAUCUUGAUUGGGCCUAUUGAUAAAAGACCAUUGAAUAACAUAAAACAAGAUAAAUUUGCACAGUUCCAACACUUAUAAAUGUUGUAUAUCACAAGGUGACCCCCUGUCCCCUAUAUUAUUUGUGGUGUGUUUAGAAUACUUCUCAAGAAUUAUGAAAUGGAUUGCUGAACAAGAGGGGUUUGAAUUCCAUACUAAAUGUCAAAGCUUAAAGCUGAAUCACUUAUGCUUUGCCGAUGAUAUGUUGAUAUUCAGAAAAAGUGAUAUCAAAUCAGUGAUACUGAUGUUAAGGGGUUUAAAGACGUUCUCUAUGGCAUCUGGUUUUACAACCAAUGAAGCAAAAUCAAACAUUUUUCAGCCAAAAUGGAUCAACAAGAAUUAAAUAAGUUGAGUGAAGCUACAAGAUAUAAGCAAGGAAAGUUACCUUUCAAAUACUUGGGGGUACCAAUAUCCCAAAAAAAACUAUCAACAAUUGAUUGUUAAGUGUUGUUAGAUAAGAUGGUAUGUAAGAUAAAUGUGUGGUGAUCCAAGAAUUUAUCGCAUGCUGGAAGAACACAACUUAUGAACUCUAUACUCAUACAUAUACACUCAUAUUGGGCAUCAAUGUUCUUGCUGCCUAGGAAGGUGUUGAAACAGGUGGUGACACUAUGCAGGAACUAGAUAUGGAUUGGUAACAUGUAGACAAACAAGCCUUCUUUAAUUACUUGGGACCUUGUCUACAGACCCAAACAAGAAGGUGGACUAGGAAUGAUUGAUUGCAUAGAAUGGAAUGAUGUUGUUGUGGCUAAACAUAUCUAAAAUGUGGCAAACAAAACUGACACUCUGUGGUUAAGAUAGGUAAAUCAUAUUUACAUAAAAAAGACAAGAUUGGUGGCAGUAUGAAGCCCCACUGGAGUCAUGCUGGUACUGUAAGCAAAUUUGUGUAUUAGAGUCGAAAUUUGGAGUUGGAUACAUACAAAAUGGAUGGUUGACUCAACAAGGAAAAUAUAGCGUGCAUAGUGACUAUAUAUGGACUAAAGGUCAAGGGGAUAAAUGACCCAUGUGGAGAGGUGUAUGGUGCAAAGCUAGCAUUCCUAAGGAACAAUUUAUCUGCUAGCUAGCAAUGCACACAAAGGUUGCUGACAAGAAGUAGAUUAAAGAGACUUGGACUAUGUGAUGAGGACAACUGUGCACUAUGUGAUAAUGUGGAUUAAACAAUAGAACACUUGUAUUUCCAAUGGGUUUUCUCCAAGACUUGUAUGGCAAUGUUGCUCUUCUUGCUAGAAAUAGAAAUUAGGAACUUGGAGCUAUAAGGGUGGUGGAAUAGAAUAACUAGAAGGGCCCCAAUAAAUAUAAGUAGACAACUGUUAUGGGUAGCGUCUUCCACUCUCAUAUAUCACAUAUGGGUAGCAAGAAAUAAUGCAGUUUGAAAUUAUAAAUGACAUUUCUCAAACCAGGGCCUUGUCUUAAUGGGCAUCUCAAGCGCAACAAGAACCAUAGAUCAUCCCGCUACCCAAUCUAACCAACCAAUAUAUACCCGGAGCCGGAUGAACUCCAAACAUAUAACAAGAUCAGGUGAUUAACAACACAAAGACUUUGGGAUAGGUCCUAGACCAUGACCAACCUAAACAAGUCUAACCGCCCAAUGCCUAACCAACAACCAUAACAAAACCAAAAUAAUAACCAAGUCCAUACCUAUACCAUAACGUACCCAAGUCCACCAUUUUUCCAUACAAAGCCUCUAAAAGAAAUCCAAGAAUAUCCGGUUGGGACAUGCCCCUAACCAUACCCAAGACCAAUCUCCAAGUCUAAAUCAAUAAAUACAUAAGAAAACUCAAAGCAAGAAAUUGAGCCUUACAAAGUAAGGAAGCUCACCAUUUCAAGUCAACACAAGUUGUUCCUGAGUCCAAUCACUGAGUAGGAGGUGUAAAAAUAUGACCAACACAUGCACCGCGUAGGGAUACAAUGUUGAAUUCGGUUAGUGGUUGGAGCGCUAGCAUGUAACUCAAGGAUAUGGAUAAACUAAUGCCAAUAGUUCAAAUCCAAUCAACCAAUGCAAUAUAUAUAUAUACCAUGCUGGGGUAGGGAACAAGAUUAGUAUGAACUUUGAAAUCAUUAACCUGGGAUGCGUAGCAUAGCCAUCAUAAAACAAGGCACCUACGAGCUAUAUGGGCCCAACUCUCCCCAGCUGGGAAGCCCCUAGUACGUGUAGCCAUACAAACCAGAGAAUAUCCAAAAUUUUAUAUGCCUAUAUGGGAGACUCAAACCUCCCAUAACAAUCAAGGUGACUUAAGCACCAAUACAUGUACUAUGGGGGAAUCAAACCUCCUAUUCACAUAUUCAUUCGGGGGACUCAAACCACCCGGUUACAAAGACACCCGCACCGACUAGUGUAGUUACCAGUGUUAGUUCUUUUGGACUCCACUUUCACGACCCAACUACACAUUCCGCUUUUAAAGCCCAAUUUAAAACCAUCAUUUCACAUUCACAACCAUUAAGCCAAUUACUUACCAAAGGAACUUCGUUGGUAUCGUUAUACCAACACCACAUGCAAACAUACAACAUGCCACUACCAUUAUCAAUCAACCAAUCAUUCAUUUGACUUUAGGACUCGAACCCGUUGUCUAACAAAAAUGCUUGUUCAAUUCAAAGUUUAGGGACUCAAACCCAUUAUUAAGUGAAGACAUAAAUCAAUUUAAUGUUUAAGGACUCAAACCCCUUUUAGCCAAUUAAACCACCAAAGUUACCAUUUAAAUCA